AAAUGUUUAAAUACUCUGCACGCAGCCUGGAGCUUUCUCUUUGCUGCGUGCAACUGAUCACCUGGAGCACUUGGACCGUCUGGAGGACAGUGGAGCGAUCUUCUCAUUGUCUCAUUGUCUGGUUACAUUUCUUUAUUUUCCCCUUCUUUUUAAUCUUCUCUGGUCCCUUAAUUAAUUUAAUUCCCUUUUUUCCCCCCUGUUUGAUUUCCCACCCCACCCCUUACCCUGCCCUUUGGGAAGAUUCUCCCUGUACCUGUGAGCGCUGCCUGUGCAUAAUCCUCCUUGGCUUUUUAACUAUGCUGUUUCUGAACAAGUUUAUUUUCUUCAAGUUUGUUUUUCCCUGAUAGUGGCGACUGCCAUUUUAGAGACAAGCCAUUGUGGCUUAGUGGCUAGAGUACAGGACUAGGACCUGGGAGACAGGGUUCAUAUCCCCCACUUAGCCAUUGUUGUAACAAAGCAAAACAAGCUGCUCCUUUUGGACUAUUUUGUUGCUGGGUAGUUUGGCCCAUUUGUGAUAUUGCUCCCAAAAAGAACUUUGGGUUUCUUGAGGUGCUUCCCUCUAAAGGGCAAGCAGGGGUACCUGGACAGGCAGUGGGCUGCCUCGAGUUUGUUAUCUCAUUGGAAACAUUUAUGUCUGGCCUAGCAGGUUAUCCUAGGGCUUGGCCCGCUUGGCCCUAGAAUUUGAUGGCCUCUGGCAGCAUUUCUGGCCUGAAUAGGGUCCCCAUGUGGUGCACAAAGCAUUGGUUUCACCUGUUCCUCACAUUGUUUAGGUUUUUUCUUUUUGCAGACUAUGACAGGGCCUUUGCAGAUGCCUCCAGAGCUUGCUUCUCCUGCAGAGGAUGACUUGCUGAUGCCCCAGGUGCCUUCUUCCAGAAGGAAGCGUCUUCAGAGGCAGGAAAAAGCAGAGCAGGGAUGAUGCUUACACCUCCUUGCAGGUAAAUCAUCCCUGGGCUCUGAUGAUGAUUCAGACAUCACCUUGGACCUCUCCAGGGGUCAGGAUGAGGCUGUUCUGGGUCUUUAGGGAUCAUCCUGGAUAGCUCAGCUGGUCAGCGUAUGGUGCCGGUAAUGCCUAGGUUGCAGGAUUGGUCCCUGUAUGGGACAACUGCAUGCUCCCUCAUCACUCUACCCGGACACUGAGGUCCAGCGCCAAGGGCCUUUCUGGUGGUUCCCUCACUGUGAGAAGCCAAGUUACAGGGAACCAGGUGGAGGGCCUUCUCGGAAGUGGCACCCGCCCUGUGAUACACCCUCCCACCAGAUGUCUACUACCAGACUUUUAGAAGACAUCUAAGGCAGCCCUGUUUAGGGAAGCUUUUAAUGUUUGAUGCAUUACUGUAUUUUAAUAUUUUGUUGGAAGCUGCCCAGUGUGGCUGGGGAAGCCCAGCCAGAUGGGUGGGGUACAAAUAGAUGAUGAUGAUGAUGAUGAUGAUGAUGAUGAUGAUGAUUAUAUUGUGGGAGAGUGGACUAGAUGAUCCUCGGAGUCCCUUCCAACCCCACUAUUCUAUAAGUGGUAAUUCACUAUGAUGGGAAUGUUAGACGCAGGGCUGCCAUCAUCCCCUCAGCUCACUAGGAUCGCAGGGACGGGGACAUGUGGACCACUUGCGCAGCUCCACAUUUCAAAUGGAAAUUCCCUGAGCAAUAGAACCUGAAGCUGGUAUGCAGGAAGCUGGCCUGGUGGCAGCUUUGUUGGGACUUCUUUAGGGUUUCUGGCCAGUGUUGGCCCUGUAAAUUUACACAUCAUGGUGGCAACAGAAGGCAGGGCAUCUUGCCCAAGCAGGGGCUGGCAAGCAAUAACUCAAUACCUCUCGUCCAUAUUUCCAUAAAAAUAUCUCCCUUGAAAGCCUGGCUAAAAGGUUAUCUAGAUGGGUCAGUGGCUUUGUGCAUGUGGGAAGGGUUUUUCCCAAGGUUUGGGAUUCCUCUGGCUUUUCAGCCAGUGGCUCAGAAUACAGCAACUCAAAAGCCAGUUAGAGAGCUACCUGUGGUAGCCAGAAAGAAGGUUAGGAAGCAGCUUGCAUUGGGACGUAUGGUGGGAUCCCCUUGGUUCUCCUUCUAGUCCCGAUUUUCAUUUAUCCCCAUUGGGGAUCGUCCCUAAGAAAGCCCCAUAUAAUUCCAUCUGAUCCAUAUUUAUCGCAUCCCAAAGGCACCUCAGUGAAUGAUGCUAUCCCUCUGGAAUUGUUCCAUGAAAUAUGCAUCUUUGGAUCAGGCAGUUGAGCUUACCAACAAAUUGGAGGAGGUGCCUUGUUGGCAUUAUGCGAUAUUGAAUCGGCUGUUAGGAUGCUGCCGGUUCACCCUCAAGAUUUUAAGUAGUUAGGCUUUAAUUGGAUGGUCCUUAUAUUGAUAAGGCGAUGCCAGUGGGUUGCUCAAUAGGCUGUGCAGCACUUGAGUCCUUUAGCGCCUUUCUGGAUUGAACAUUGCGAGUCAAGACUCGUUUAACUGGGGGUAUCGUUAUGUGGAUUAUUUUACUGGCUGGUUCAUGUGACACUAGCCACUGCUUAGGCUAACUGGACGCCCCUUUAUUCCCUGAGGAACUGGGUGUUCUGUUGGCAGUGGAGGACAGUGGGUCCUACUGCCCCUUUUAACGUAUUUGGGGGCUAGCUGGAUACCGUUGCUCAAACAUCUGCUUGCCUGUGGAAAAGCUGUUUGCCUUGAAGGACGUUAUUCUUGUAAUACUUCCUCUGAAGCAAGUGUUGCUUUGUCAGAUCCUAUCAUUCCUAGGUCAGUUAAAUUUUGCAUGCAGGGUGGUUGCUCCAGGCUGCCCCUUCCAUUCCUGCUUGGCCAGGUGGUCUCAUGGCCCGGGGUUCCUUCAUCAUCAUGUACAGUGGCCUUGAGCCUGGCAGGGCAAGGCAAUCACAUGUGACCUAACUUUUCUCGAGUUUUCCCCAUUGUAGUGUCAGCACACAUCUGGACUGAGGAGUUUAGGGACCGUCGGGUCUGUCUUGGUCUGAUAACCAGGCAGUGUGAGAGUCCUGGCAAAACAGUCCUCAUGCUCUGGCAGAGUCUUCGCACUGCUUAAGGUUUAAUAUUGCGUUUCUGCUCGCUUUAUUUCGGGAUCAUCUAAUGUUUUCGCUGUCGCUCUAUCCCGUUUUUUCAGUUGGAGAGCUUCAGAUCCUGGGCUCUGGAUGCCCAGCUAUAGCCGGAUUUUUCUGGAGCUCCUGUGGCAUUUGGCAACAAUUAAUAAUUGUGGUUCGAGGACCCGACCCCCGCGAUGUGAAAUAAAUACACAAGGACACGUGAUAUAAGGUUAAUGGGCAAGAAAAGGCCACAACUUUAUUGAUUACAGCAGUGAAAAGGUAUUGGCUUAGGCAUUGGAUGUCUAACACAAGGGGUUUAUUCACCAGUAGGUGGAGCCUGUUGAUGCUAAUCCAACUAUAGGCUCUCCCCUGAUGUCACCGGGGUCGUGCCAUGGCCUCCCGCCAAGCAGGCAUCGGACAGAGUACACGACCGCCAGAUUCCUUUAACGGAAUACCCAAAAAUUGAAGGCAUAGGCGAUGGCCACACCCAGCCCUUCGACACACCACAACACAUUAUUCCAAUGCCUAACCGCCACCCGAGCCAAUAAGGCUCGCCGCCAAUACCCUCACGGCUGUAACCAAUCCCUAAUGCUGCUGAUGACACUAUCUAGCCAAAUGUUGUUCCCCUGGUCAGAGGGAAGCGCCCCGUCAUUCCGGUAUAAGGCCCGGUCGCCGAUCCGGAUUUGGUCAUGAUAAAUGACUCGGCCAUUCAUGAAGCGCACCCAACGGGCCACUGCCCGAUUUACGAGUUUCCUGGUUUUUUCAAUGGAGGCCGAGGAGAGGCUGGCACCGCCGCAAAAGGCUGCUGAACACGCCCCCUCGAAGGCACCUGGUUGGAUGCCUGCCAAGGGGGCGUGGGCGCCAGCCAGGUGAGAGGAGGAGGCAAGGGGCUAAUGCCCCCUGCUAGGGGUGGUGCUCGGGCUCCCGCCCACAACCACUCCCCUCUCUUCCAGGGAGGAGAGUCUUUAUGAGGAGUAGUAGCUUACGUUUCCCCAUCUGCUUUCAGGUCUUAUGAGAAGGCCUGGACUGAUUUCUUAAAAUUUAGCUGGCAGUCCUCAGCCAUUCAGAGGAACCUGCCCCCAUCCUCUGAGCAGGACCUGCAGUAAUUCGCCCACCUGCUGCAGAUCGGAUGCACUGUUAAAACUAUCAGAAUUCAGUCCGCUGCAAUGUCUGCUAGAGUAAAGCUUUAAUUUUUCAGAGACCCUUCUAAAAGUGUGUCUUGCACAGGGUCUCGGAAGGUUGGACUAGGCUCCAACCUUCACAGGACAGCAGGCAGGAAGCCGGUCAAUCUUUGACCUAUGCAGUAUCCGCAACAAGUUAAGACUUGUCGGCUGGUUCAAGAUCAAGACGAGACUUCUUUCAGUAUUCCAUUGUAAUUUUGGUGUACUGAGGGUUGGGGAAAUUGUGUUGGAGCCAGCACGGGGCUGAGAGUUUGGAGGCUUAUUGCCUCAGGACUUUUCCUUAUCUGCUUUGGAGCUUAUCAUAAGUGUCUGGAGCUCUAAGUGAGACCUAGUGAGCAGGGUUGCCACCAUCAGGCUUCCAGUCACAGGUGAGGUGGGCCCUUGCCCUGUUAUUGGAUACCGGAAAUAUUUGGCUUUUCGUUCCCCUGGGGGCUGGCUCGAUCCUAGUGCACAGAAAUGGGUUCCGGUUCGACAGGCAUCUAAUUGCUCACGUCGUGCGCCAGUUAUUGCAGCCUGCGGCUUGCCCACCGCUGAACACGCCUCAUUCCUUCUGAAUAGGUGCUGCUGCAAAGGCUGCGCACUGGGGCCUGUUAGUAGACAGGAUUGUGAAUACGGGUCAUUGGAAGUCUGACGCUGACAAAGGUUAUGUCAGGAAGCAUCACCAAUGAUGCCUGUGCUGAUGCCUGUCUGUUAUUCCUUUUUUCAUAGGAGCAGCUGUGCGCAUUUGGAUUGUCGGCCACAGCAUCAUGCACUGAGCUGGCAAGCACCCUGAUGAGUCUGGACUGGGGGCGCCAUCUUGGCCUUCCUGCCCAUGUUUCUAGCUCCAGUCCGCAUCUGGAUUGUGGGGCACAGCAUCGUUUACUGGGCUGGCAUCAGAGCUAGGCAGUCUGGAAGGGGACUGGGUCUUGGCCUCCCGCAGCAUGUGCAGGUGUUGUGGAUGUCCAGGUGCAGAAUGCAGUGGAGCGAAUUCAUCCCGCUAAUUAAGCAGAGGGUGCUUUCGGAUGCCCCCCCCCAUGGCAAUUGUGGUUCAGCUGGGCGAGAACGAUGUGGCAACUUAUGAUUGCUUUACUUUGCGCUCCACGAUUCAGAGAGACUUGGGGGAAUUGGUGACCUUAAUACCCACAGUUAAAAUAUUUUGGUCACAAUUGCUGCAAAGGCGCAAUUGGCACGGCAUUUCUCGACCUGAGGCUGCUGAAAGGGCCAGGAAGCACAUUAAUUCCGCAGUGUGUAAAAAGGUGGCAGAAUUGGGUGGGUUGGUUAUUUCCCGCCCGGAUAUUACCUUCAAGGCUCUGGCCCUUUACCGCAAUGAUGGAGUACAUCUCUCUGUACUGGGGAAUGAUGUUUGGUUGGAUGCGGUAACUGCAAUGUUGAAGGUUGGGUUGGGAUUGUGAGUGGUUGGCGGAGAGUGUAAAGGGCUCGAUUGGCGGUUAGGCAUUGGUUAUAAAUUGGUGGAGGAGGGGUUAGGAUAGGCUGGGCCUGCCCCUCCAUUGUUGCUGCGGAAAGGGAAUUCCGUUAAAGGAAUCCUGGGGCUUGCCAUCUUUUCGUCCAAUCCCUGGAAUGGGACUAGGGCCGGCAAGCCUUCGGGGAGCAUGCGGAUGAGAAUUGAGGGUCUGUGACUCAGCUCCAUUUCCCCCCGACUUGUUUUCCCGCACUGUCUUUCGGUGGUGCCCGGAAGUCAGUUCUGUCCCCAGGCGGGGGGACAGAUAGUCUUAACCAAUGCCUAAACAACUACUCACGGUUUUGUAUUUAAAUAAAGUUGUGGCCAAAAUUAUGCCAAAAACCUUAAACAAAAAUUAAGUGUGCGUUGUGAGUUAUUUGGGGGGUGGCUUGGGGACCUCGACACGCAAAGACUCCUUUAGUAGUUGUAAAUCUAGGUGUCAAGUGGCCAUCCGGGGAGAUCUUCACCUGACAAAUAUUUUUUAUCAAGAAAAGUAGUCGGGGGUUCUAGCCCAAUAGCAUUCAAUUUCUCCCAUAACAGCCCUCUAGGUAUCGAGUCAAAAGCACUUUUCAGAUCAAUAAAAUCCAUGUAUAACUUCCCCCUUUCGGAUUUCAUAUAUUUAUCUGCUAGAAAAACAAGUGAGAGACAGUGAUCAAUAGUUUAUUUCCGUUUUGUAAAUCUGAUCUGUUCAGGGCCAUUAAUUCUGUUCAUUUUAAUCCAGUCCAAUAGAUAGCACUAUAAAUGUUUAGAGUUUACUUGUAGUGGACAGAAGACUAAAAGGGCAAUCAUUACACGGCUGCUCAGAAUUGCCUUUUUAUAGAUUGGGAUUGUUACAGAAGUUAACCACGAUUUUGGUAUAAUUCCAUAUUGGUCUAUAAGAGUGGGAAGCUUAGCAAACGGUGAUGGCUACCAAUCUUCAUACUUUUUAAAAAAGAAUCUAAGCAGAAAUCCCAUCAGAGCCAGGGGCCUAACCAUGUUUUAAUUCUGCUAUAAAUUCCAUCAUUUUGUCUGUGCUUCCCAGGGGUAGGGGCAGUUUGGUAUAUUAGAGGGGACAGGCUCGUCAGCAUUUGGGAGACAGCAGGGUGAGGCGUUGCAUAUUUUAAAAUAGUAGUCCACCCAGGUUUGGGAACUCUAGGUUUACUAAAUAAUUAAUCUACAUGAUGUUGUUAAAUUGCAAAAAAAAAUUAAAAAAUGCUAAGGAUAUUUUUGCCCAUUACAAUAUUUUUCUGUGAGUGACAGAAAAUAGAUAAUACAGGAUAAAAGGUCAGGGACUAAUUCUGACCAUAGAAUUGGCACCUUGUUGGGAAUGAACACUGCCAUUAAAGGAUAAUUAAGCAAUCUUAUUCAAUGAGCAAUUAACCGGCUAUUCCUCAGUAAUCCCAUGCUCAACAGGAGGCAAUUGAGAGCAGACCCAGCAACACAAACCUUUUAAUUAACAUUGGAAAUGACCCUUUGUUGAAUGGGACUUAUUUCUGCAUAAGCCUUAUAAAUCUUCUAUUUCAAAAAAACAAUUUCUAUAUUUAAACACUAUAUUAAUUCAUCUUUCAUUGGUUUGUGCAACAGCAGCUCUGAAAAAGCUUAAAUGUGGAAGCAACCUUUUUCUGAGGCACCAUUUUACGUGCAUUUCGUAAAGCUCUGUGUAGCUAGGAGAAAGUAUGACUAGCUACUGUAUUCAUGGAGAGUUAUUGCUCUAUGUUAUAUAUUUAUGCCAUAUCUUUUACCCUGUUUAACUUGGCAAAGAGAUUAAGGAUGUAUAUCAUCUGAUACAAAGCCUUUAAAAGCUUCAAGAUAUGUGAGGUGAUUUAUCUUCUCCAAACAUUGUGAAGUACUUGCUAAUAGACAAAGAGGAUUGGGCUGAUAAGAAAAUUAUGUUUAUUGCCCAUGCCAUAGUGAAGCUAUCAUUCAGCAUUAACUCAUUUUCUUUAUUCACAGUUUUUAAAAAUGUGAAAUAUAACAGCGCAGUAAAAGAACAUGUAUUCCAGAACCUUUGGUUCAUAAUCAAUUCAAUCUUUCUUUUCCACAGCCCAUCUAACCCGUUCUCAUAAAACUGGAAUUAACUUGUUCAAUGUGUACAGAACUCACGGCCAGUCAUCUGGAUUAUGGAAAACCGUUUCCUGAGAGAAAUCUCGAUCUCUUUACCAUUUGAAUGACUGCAGUGGGGAGAAUGUUCUCUGAGGUAAAUUUUAGUCCCCUUAGGGACUAAACACGGAAGGUGAUGAGAGAAUAUUCUGCGAGGUAAAUUUCUGUCCCUCCAGAGUUUGAGUUGUUCCAGUAGGAAGGGAUGCUAGGAAAAUAUUCUGUGAGGUAAAUUACAUUCCACUUGGGGUUUGUGCUGUUCAAAGCACUCCAAACCCUUCUUAACAAGGAACUACAAGUGGGCUACAUCACAUUGGGAAAAAGGAUGCCCAUUAUUUUGAGUUCACUGAGGGGGAAAAAUACAUAUAUAUCUUUUUUUGUGUGUGGCAAAUGGUGGGUCGUGUGCCUCUGAGGUCACUUGCAGACCUGUGGUGGGAAAGUUCAUUUUGAAAGUAACUAGUUCUAGUUUAGGUUCAUCCUGCCGAAAUAGAAAAGAGUCUGUCCUUUUACAAAAUGAACUCGAUCAAGUUCAUUUGCUUUCAUUCAUAGAAAACUUGUCCUCUGCAUUUUUUCCAGCAUUCAGAAGGUUACAAGCUGCUGAAGUACAGGGGCCAAAAUAAAUCAGGGGCCACACAAAAGUAAUAAGAUGCCUGACAGACAGGAUGUCAGCUGUUGAAGCUGUCCCCAUCAUUGUAUUUUUGUACUGGAAGAAGCUUGUCCUAUUCUGUUUCUGCCUGCCAGGAAGUCAAUGAAUGGUGUAAUAAAAGAUAUUUAAUUUGUAAUGUAAAA
rnacentral:lncRNA from 1 species